CCAGCUCAUCCACGUUCCCCAUCAAAAUCCUCUCUUUCUUUCUCUCUCUUUCUCACUUUCUCUCUCUCUCUCUCUCUCUCUCUCUCUCUCCUCUUUCUAAACUCUAUAUAUAUCUCCAUCAUCCAAUCCAUUCAACUUUAUCUCCUUCUAAUUCCUCUUUUAUUUCUCUCUCUCUCUCUCCUUCAUCUUCCUUCUUCCUUGGUGGGUGGGGUUAGCUUCUUGUUUCCGCACAAGAAUCAAAUCCCCAUCCAUCUAUUCAACAAAUCAAACAUUAUGGCUCGAUCUCUCUCUCAAUUACGCACUCACCUCUCCAUUCUCUCUAAUACUCACUCAUCCGCCACCCGUCUCGUUAACUUACGACACCGUUCAAAUUCGCCGGAGAUUUUAUUCUCCGGCGAUAUUCCGGCGGAAGAGAUUGAGAAGGUGGCGAUUAAGAAUUUAGAAGAAGCGAUUCAUAAGAUAAUUGUUAAAAAAUCGGAACCUGAUUGGAUCCCUUUUGUUCCUGGCGCUUCUUAUUGGGUCCCACCUAAGAGUAAGUCUCAAGGGCUGGCCCACGUUGUUGGCAAAUUGGCGGGUAAUAAGAGGGUGGAUAAGUCUUUUUCUCUCUCCUCUAAUCGUAAUCGUGGUUGGCCUUCUUCUGCUCAUUUUUUUAAAGGGGCAUCCCAUUCUCCAUUGGAGGGAGAGACAAUAUUUAAGCACACAUCAAAGUCUGAGGAAGAGGAAGGGUAAAUCUGCUCUCUUGACAGAAAAUUGUACCCAAGGCUCCCACCAGUUGUUAAUUAUUUGUGGAAAGGUGGAGAUGUAUCAGCGAUCGAGAGUUUCGAUACAUUGUUGCUUUGUUGAAAGAAGGUGACGAGGAUGCAGCCUGAUUGCUCGGAGGCGAAAACCACAGGGACACAGGAUUAUUUCAAGGUGAAAUCAACCAGCAUUUACACUGACAGAAAAAGUUAUUUGUAGUUCUUUGUAAAAUAUUGAAUAGAUUUGUUUGUAACUAUAAUAUCAUCCUUGAACAAGAGGUGCCAAAUGCUCAAUUGUUCCUGUGUUGUAAAUGAGUAAUGAAUUGUAUUCGUUGUCUGAAGAA